UUAAACCCGCCCCGCAAAGCCCAGGGCGCAGAACUGCUGAACGAGCUCCGAUCUGUGGCGUAGCCCAUCCGGGUCCGCGUCGCUGGCGGGACUCGGUGAUCUGGGGCAGAUGAUUGCAAGGGAGGUGGCGUUGACCUGGGUCAUGGCGCUUCUGUUUAAAUAGCCACCUGAGGGACAGCCCUACACCCAGACUGCUUCUGACACUUGGGCCUUGGUCACAACUGCCAGCCCUCAGCAAGCUGACGAUGCUCUAAGCGAGUGUGAAAUUUGGGAAGAGACAAGCAGGCCUCCAAAGGAAACGCAGGAGUCCGGCACGAGUGUGGACAAGUUAUUUUGGAACUGGAAAAUUACCAUUUUCUCUUUCAGCUCCAAGGACGUGUAUGGGCCCGCAGUUUGGUCCCCUGCCUAUAGGAUUUGUAUACAAUGGAGUAUGAAAGCUUGCAGAAAAAACUCUCAGCCCUCUUAGAUUUUUUGAGGAAAAUCUGUGACGUCAACAUUCUGCUGAUAUAUUAUGUUUGAGAUCAAGGCAAAAAAAAACAAAAAAAACCCAAGCAACCUGACUGCUGCUUAUGCAACUCGUGUUCUACUUAAUCCCUGCAGCCUGCUCCCCGCUCCUGCCGCAGCCGCAGGGAAGAGUUCCCUCUCGCGGUGCGAUAAUGCCGCUACAAAAGGUGGGUUCUGCGUUUCGGACUUGUUUACAGACGGAGGGAGGUCACGCACCGGGAUGGGUAAGACCUCUGCACCGUGCGCAGGGACCUCCGUCUCAGCCGCUAGAGCAAAGCCACGCAUGCGAAAAAAUGCCAAUACGGUCCUUUUCUCGCUGUUUAUGGGACUGAAAAGGCUACUUAAAUUUAAGUAUUUUUAAGUUAGGAGUGCUUUUGCACCCUUCCCUCCAGACCUCCAUCUAAAAGCCACAGACUUCUGUUGUAAUGAACUUAAUGGCACAGACAGCAAAAUUUAUGAUGAUUACAUUUUAAAAAUCUGUAAAAUAUAUUUUUAAAUAUUUGUAAUGCUGUAAAUAAUAUGUAGAUAUAUUUAUAAACAAUUAAUAAUAAUAAAAUGUCAAUACUUCCAAUAUCUAAGAAUGUCAUAACUUUUAAGUCCGAUAGCUUGGCACUGGGGGGAGGGGGGGAAAAAAGACAAGUCUACAUCAUUUCUUUAAAAAGAUGGCGUUUCCCCUCUUGUUUCUAAUUCUUCCGGCUUACAGAAUAAUAGAGCAUAAUUUUUUUUAAAGCGGUAUCUGUGUAACCUUGUUUUGCAGUCUGGAAUAUUAAAAACAGUACCCAGAGAAAUAGAAGAGGGGACAGAAUAAGGUAAUCAAGGUUUGGGAUAAAUAAAAUCAAAGGCAUGUGUAUUUUAAUGACUAGUGAGAGACCUAGAGACAUUAUGAUUGUUGUUAUGAUGAUUAUUACAUAAGCGGACAAAGCCAACAUCUCUGAAAAAAAUGACUGAACUUUGCCAAAAGUCAAUAGUCAUUUCAAACACAGGGAAGUUAUGUUUGUGGAUAAAAGAGAAAAAUGCAUCUAAUUAAAAUAAAAUUAAUAUUAGGAACACCAGACAGAUUACAAAGGCAAGCUUGUUAAAAUCUUUCUGCAACAACGGUAAAACUCAGUUAUAUUCAGCACAGGUUGGUAAGACCUGCAAUUAAAAAAUUUAAAAGUCAUGAAAAACAGCUGAAAGACAGAACUUUCAUCAUGUGGAAACACAUUUUUAAGGCACUGUGAUGUUUUUACAAGCAAAAUAACACAACGAAUCAGUAUGAAUGAAAAAAUCGGUAAAAAUAUUAAACAUUGGUAAUUACACUGGAGCAGAAUACAAAGUAAUUAGUGUCAGCUUCUAUUAAGAAAGAAAACAAAACCCAGGGUUCAUCUCAGCUAACUCUUAACCUCCAGAAAAGCUCAUAUAGGUAUCGGAGAAGAUUACCUGGGCUCUUUCUGCAGUCCCCUGUGAGAUGGGGCUGUGUGUGUGUGUGG